AUCUUCAGGGCGGGGUGUAAUUCCCCACCGGCAGUAGAGCCUGCGAGCCCAUAGGGGUUGAUACGGUGAGAUUCCGUAGCCGACGGUAUAGUCCGGAUGGAAGAAGAG
rnacentral:ncRNA from 1 species